rnacentral:lncRNA from 1 species
AUGGCAGUCACCACUACUACCACAGCCAUGAAAAUGCGACUGCUCAUCGCCAUGGUGGCAGCAAACAAGCAAGUCUCACAAUCCCACUCAUUAUUAAGCUUUUUUGGGGAAAGCGUCAGUGAGAUUUCACAGCACUCACAUAAUUCCACCAGGACUCCCCUCUCAGUAACGUCUUACUCAUCAGAGGCUGCAAGCAAAGUGUGCCAUGAUCCCUGUCCCUACCUACCUGUUAGUUGCCCUCACUUCACAAGUGUCCGUGGUCCCACAGUCUCUCACUGGACAUGCAGAGGAGACUACGUGGAAAUGAAGAAUUCAGAAGGUGCUCUUCACCACCUAAUACCAGGACAAGAAAGCAGAGGUGCGGUGACUGUGUGCCACAUGAGAAGAAGGAUAGGCUCAGCACCUUUGAGACAUCCCCUGGUACCAGGAAAAAGAAAUCCGCCUGUUCCACAGUCCCUCUUGCAGGAGAAGCCACGAGAAGCGAUACCAGGGCAGCUUAGCUUCAGAGACAUUACUGUACAAACAUUUGCUUGUGAAGGGGCAGAAUCUCAUGUUCAGAGGUCAUUCAUUUCUAAGCCGAAGAAUAAUUUAAGUGAGAAGGCUUGCUCAACAUGUGGAGAGAAAAAGGAAAAGCUGACAAAGAAAUGGAAGAACAAGUAA